UACGUAGGGGGCAAGCGUUGUUCGGAUUCAUUGGGUGUAAAGGGUGCGCAGGCGGGAGAGUAAGUCAGAGGUGAAAUCUCACAGCUUAACUGUGAAACUACCUUUGAUACUGCUUUUCUUGAGUUCGGGAGAGGUUGAUGGAAUUCCAGGUGUAGCGGUGAAAUGCGUAGAUAUCUGGAAGAACACCAGUGGCGAAGGCGGUCAACUGGCCCGUAACUGACGCUCAGGCACGAAAGCGUGGGUAGCGAACAGG
rnacentral:rRNA from 1 species